rfam:Schizosaccharomyces japonicus yFS275 unplaced genomic scaffold supercont5.4, whole genome shotgun sequence.
GGGGUCAUAGCUCAGUGGUAGAGUGAGGGAUUGCAGAUCCCCAGGUCGCUGGUUCGAACCCGGCUGGUCCCU